rnacentral:rRNA from 1 species
UACGUAGGGGGCAAGCGUUGUCCGGAAUCAUUGGGCGUAAAGAGCGCGUAGGCGGCCCUGUAAGUCCGCUGUGAAAGUCAAGGGCUCAACCCUUGAAUGCCGGUGGAUACUGCAGGGCUAGAGUCCGGAAGAGGCGAGUGGAAUUCCUGGUGUAGCGGUGAAAUGCGCAGAUAUCAGGAGGAACACCGAUGGCGAAGGCAGCUCGCUGGGACGGUACUGACGCUGAGGCGCGACAGCGUGGGGAGGCAAACAGG